AGCGAACGUUUGCGGCGGGCCUAACACAUGCAAGUCGAACGGGCUAGCAAUAGUCAGUGGCGCACGGGUGCGUAACACGUGGGUAAUCAACCCUUCAGCUCGGGAUAACGCCUUGAAAGGGGCGCUAAUACCGGAUACGACGCGAGGAGCUUCGGCUGCUCGCGGGAAAGAUUCGGCAAGGGAUCUCUGAAGGACGAGCCUGCGGCCCAUCAGCUAGUUGGUGAGGUAAGAGCUCACCAAGGCGAAGACGGGUAGCUGGUCUGAGAGGAUGAUCAGCCACACUGGAACUGAGACACGGUCCAGACUCCUACGGGAGGCAGCAGUGGGGAAUAUUGCGCAAUGGGCGAAAGCCUGACGCAGCCACGCCGCGUGAGCGAUGAAGGCCU
rnacentral:rRNA from 1 species